AGAGUUUGAUCCUGGCUCAGGACUAACGCUGGCGGCGUGCCUAACACAUGCAAGUCGAGCGGGGGUGCACUUGUAGCAAUACUUGUGUACUUCAGCGGCAGACGGGUGAGUAACGCGUAGAUAACGUGCCCUUCAGUGGGGGAUAGCCGUUGGAAACGACGGGUAAUACCACAUUCGCUCGUUGGGAGACAUCUUCCGACGAGGAAAGCAGCGAUGCGCUGGAGGAGCGGUCUGCGUCCUAUUAGCUUGUUGGUGGGGUAAUGGCCUACCAAGGCGACGAUGGGUAGCCGUUCUGAGAGGAUGAUCGGCCACACUGGCACUGAGAUACGGGCCAGACUCCUACGGGAGGCAGCAGUGAGGGAUUUUGCGCAAUGGGCGAAAGCCUGACGCAGCAACGCCGCGUGAGGGACGACGGCCUUCGGGUUGUAAACCUCUGUCAGCAGGGAAGAGAACGGACGGUACCUGCUGA
rnacentral:rRNA from 1 species